GAUGAACGCUAGCGGCAGGCCUAAUACAUGCAAGUCGAACGAUAUUACCCAGCUUGCUGGGUAUGAAAGUGGCGCACGGGUGCGUAACGCGUAUGCAACCUACCUUAUUCAGGGGGAUAGCCCGAAGAAAUUCGGAUUAACACCGCAUAAAAUCACAGUUCAGCAUUGGACAAUGAUCAAAUAUUUAUAGGAAUAAGAUGGGCAUGCGUGUCAUUAGCUAGUUGGCGGGGUAACGGCCCACCAAGGCGACGAUGACUAGGGGAUCUGAGAGGAUGACCCCCCACACUGGUACUGAGACACGGACCAGACUCCUACGGGAGGCAGCAGUAAGGAAUAUUGGUCAAUGGAGGCAACUCUGAACCAGCCAUGCCGCGUGCAGGAAGACGGCCCUCUGGGUUGUAAACUGCUUUUAUUCGGGAAUAAACCUAUUUACGUGUAAAUAGCUGAAUGUACCGAAGGAAUAAGGAUCGGCUAACUCCGUGCCAGCAGCCGCAGUAA
rnacentral:rRNA from 1 species